rnacentral:rRNA from 1 species
GUGUCUAGAGUGGCUGGAACUUUUACUUUGAAAAAAUUAGAGUGCUCAAAGCAGGCGUCUCAGCCUGAAUAGUGGUGCAUGGAAUAAUGGAAUAGGACCUCAGUUCUAUUUUGUUGGUUUUCGGAACAUGAGGUAAUGAUUAAGAGGGACAGACGGGGGCAUUCGUAUUGCGACGUUAGAGGUGAAAUUCUUGGAUCGUCGCAAGACGAACUACUGCGAAAGCAUUUGCCAAGAAUGUUUUCAUUAAUCAAGGACGAUAGUUAGAGGUUCGAAGGCGAUCAGAUACCGCCCUAGUUCUAACCGUAAACGAUGUCAACCAGCGAUCCGCAGGAGUUAUUCAUGACUCUGCGGGCAGCUUCCGGGAAACCAAAGUUUUUGGAUUCCGGGGGGAGUAUGGUUGCAAAGCUGAAACUUAAAGGAAUUGACGGAAGGGCACCACCAGGAGUAGGGACUGCGGCUUAAUUUGACUCAACGCGGGGAAACUCACCCGGCCCGGACACCGUAAGGAUUGACAGAUUGAGAGCUCUUUCUUGAUUCGGUGGGUGGUGGUGCAUGGCCGUUCUUAGUUGGUGGAGCGAUUUGUCUGGUUAAUUCCGAUAACGAACGAGACUCUAGCCUACUAAAUAGAAGGCAAAUUAUUCGUUUGCUG